UAGGGAAUCUUCGGCAAUGGACGAAAGUCUGACCGAGCAACGCCGCGUGAGUGAAGAAGGUUUUCGGAUCGUAAAACUCUGUUGUUAGAGAAGAACGUUGCAUAGAGUGGAAAAUUAUGCAGGUGACGGUAUCUAACCAGAAAGGGACGGCUAACUACGUGCCAGCAGCCGCGGUAAUACGUAGGUCCCGAGCGUUGUCCGGAUUUAUUGGGCGUAAAGCGAGCGCAGGUGGUUUAAUAAGUCUGAUGUAAAAGGCAGUGGCUCAACCAUUGUGUGCAUUGGAAACUGUUAGACUUGAGUGCAGUAGAGGAGAGUGGAAUUCCAUGUGUAGCGGUGAAAUGCGUAGAUAUAUGGAGGAACACCGGUGGCGAAAGCGGCUCUCUGGACUGUCACUGACACUGAGGCUCGAAAGCGUGGGUAGCAAACAGGAUUAGAUACCCUGGUAGUCCACGCCGUAAACGA
rnacentral:rRNA from 1 species